rnacentral:rRNA from 1 species
UGCGCAGGCGGCUUUGUAAGACGGAUGUGAAAGCCCCGGGCUCAACCUGGGAAGUGCAUUCGUGACUGCAAGGCUAGAGUGUGUCAGAGGGAGGUGGAAUUCCGCGUGUAGCAGUGAAAUGCGUAGAGAUGCGGAGGAACACCGAUGGCGAAGGCAGCCUCCUGGGAUAACACUGACGCUCAGGCACGAAAGCGUGGGGAGCAAACA